GACGAACGCUGGCGGCGUGCCUAAUACAUGCAAGUAGAACGCUGAAGCUUGGUUCUUGCACCGAGCGGGUGAGUUGCGAACGGGUGAGUAACGCGUAGGUAACCUGCCUGGUAGCGGGGGAUAACUAUUGGAAACGAUAGCUAAUACCGCAUAACAGUAGAUAUCGCAUGAUAGCUACUUGAAAGGUGCAAAUGCACCACUACCAGAGGGACCUGCGUUGUAUUAGCUAGUUGGUGAGGUAACGGCUCACCAAGGCAAAGAUACAUAGCCGACCUUAGAGGGGUAACCGGCCACCCGGGAAUGAGACAAGGCCCAGUAGCCCUCGGGAGGCAGCCGUAGGGGAUCUUUGGCAAUGGAAGGAAAGCUGACCGAACAACGCCGCGUUGGUGGAGAAGGUUUUCGGAUCGGGAAGCUCCGUUGUAAGGGAAGAACGAGUGUGAGAGUGGAAAGUUCACACUGUGACGGUACCUAAACAGAAAGGGACGGCUAACUACGUG
rnacentral:rRNA from 1 species